rnacentral:rRNA from 1 species
AUUGAACGCUGGCGGCAGGCCUAACACAUGCAAGUCGAGCGGAUGAAGGGAGCUUGCUCCUGGAUUCAGCGGCGGACGGGUGAGUAAUGCCUAGGAAUCUGCCUGGUAGUGGGGGAUAACGUCCGGAAACGGGCGCUAAUACCGCAUACGUCCUGAGGGAGAAAGUGGGGGAUCUUCGGACCUCACGCUAUCAGAUGAGCCUAGGUCGGAUUAGCUAGUUGGUGGGGUAAAGGCCUACCAAGGCGAAGAUCCGUAACUGGUCUGAGAGGAUGAUCAGUCACACUGGAACUGAGACACGGUCCAGACUCCUACGGGAGGCAGCAGUGGGGAAUAUUAGACAAUGGGCGAAAGCCUGAUCCAGCCAUGCCGCGUGUGUGAAGAAGGUCUUCGGAUUGUAAAGCACUUUAAGUUGGGAGGAAGGGCAGUAAGUUAAUACCUUGCUGUUUUGACGUUACCAACAGAAUAAGCACCGGCUAACUUCGUG